GCUCAAGUAGCUUAUA
rnacentral:tRNA from 1 species